GCAGCCACCGGUCACCUCAGCUGUGAACCAUGUAGGAGCCGUCUGGGUGUAGCCCUACCUGCCAGGCGGCGCCCCGCGGGCUGCCGCCGCCGCUGCCUUGAAGAAGCAGUUCAACCUCAUCAGCAGGUGGCCGACCUGACUAUGGGCCGGUCGGCUCUGGACCGAACCACAGCCCAGCCCGAGGCCAGCGGGACGCCCGCUGCCGCUCAAUCGCCCCCUGGUCCUUGGCGACCAUCUGGGACGGGCCGCUGCCUCCUCUGUAGCAACCCCUCGGGUGCCCCCUGCCCAUUGUCCCUACCCCGGCGAGCAUUGCCCUGCGAGGACUACACCCGAUGCUUCUCCUCUCUUCCGGAGGACACAGCCAGCCUGGGACCGCUGCCCUGUGCUAAAACUCCGAUGACUUCUGUCCCUAACGCUGUGCCGAGCGCUGUGCUGUGGGGGGCAGCAUUGUCAGACUUUCCGGGUUGACCCGCUGUUGGGAGUCCUUUAAGUGCAUGGUAGCAAGAAAUAAAGGGAUAUAUGAAAGCCAGUCGGAUUUGCUUAGUGAAUUUCAGAACGCCUGCGAGGGAAUUCGGAGGUGGUGCAGUCUCAGAAACCAGUAUUCCUAGGAACUUGACUGCUGCUGCAAGUUCUUGACAUUUAGAAAUUUAGAACUGGGAGACACCUUGUGCCAGUUUAAAAAGUCUUCUUCCUCUUGGAUUUGGAGACAGCUACUUCUCCAUGUUCCUUUGGUACUGCUUGAAUGCUUGAAAAGAAACAUAGGCAAACAAAAAUAAUUUAUAUACGGAAGAUGUGUGCUUAUGGAGGGAUAGCUAAUGCACUGAACAAAACCUAGCUGUCAUUAGAUGGAGGGAGGUAACAAAAGCUACCCAGAGAUGAAAAAUCUGAGCAGAGACUUUGUCAUCCGUCUUUAAACAC
rnacentral:lncRNA from 1 species